CUGAUUGAUGGUGCUUGCACCGGCAUUGACGAUGGAUCACCAGUGAGUGGCGGACGGGUGAGUAACACGUAGGUAACCUGCCCCGGAGCGGGGGAUAACAUUUGGAAACAGAUGCUAAUACCGCAUAAUAGCAAAAGCCACAUGGCUUUUGCUUGAAAGAUGGCUUUGGCUAUCACUCUGGGAUGGACCUGCGGUGCAUUAGCUAGUUGGUAAGGUAACGGCUUACCAAGGCGGUGAUGCAUAGCCGAGUUGAGAGACUGAUCGGCCACAAUGGAACUGAGACACGGUCCAUACUCCUACGGGAGGCAGCAGUAGGGAAUCUUCCACAAUGGGCGCAAGCCUGAUGGAGCAACACCGCGUGAGUGAAGAAGGGUUUCGGCUCGUAAAGCUCUGUUGUUGGAGAAGAACGUGCGUGAGAGUAACUGUUCACGCAGUGACGGUAUCCAACCAGAAAGUCACGGCUAACUACGUGCCAGCAGCCGCGGUAAUACGUAGGUGGCAAGCGUUAUCCGGAUUUAUUGGGCGUAAAGCGAGCGCAGGCGGUUGCUUAGGUCUGAUGUGAAAGCCUUCGGCUUAACCGAAGAAGUGCAUCGGAAACCGGGCGACUUGAGUGCAGAAGAGGACAGUGGACUCCAUGUGUAGCGGUGGAAUGCGUAGAUAUAUGGAAGAACACCAGUGGCGAAGGCGGCUGUCU
rnacentral:rRNA from 1 species